GAAGGUAUAGCUCAAGUGGUAGAGUGUAUGCUUAGCACCCACAAGGUCCUGGGUUCAAUCCCCAGUACCUCCU
rfam:Camelus ferus unplaced genomic scaffold scaffold1581, whole genome shotgun sequence.